GAUGAACGCUGGCGGCGUGCCUAAUACAUGCAAGUCGAGCGAACGGACGAGAAGCUUGCUUCUCUGAUGUUAGCGGCGGACGGGUGAGUAACACGUGGAUAACCUACCUAUAAGACUGGGAUAACUUCGGGAAACCGGAGCUAAUACCGGAUAAUAUUUUGAACCGCAUGGUUCAAAAGUGAAAGACGGUCUUGCUGUCACUUAUAGAUGGAUCCGCGCUGCAUUAGCUAGUUGGUAAGGUAACGGCUUACCAAGGCAACGAUGCAUAGCCGACCUGAGAGGGUGAUCGGCCACACUGGAACUGAGACACGGUCCAGACUCCUACGGGAGGCAGCAGUAGGGAAUCUUCCGCAAUGGGCGAAAGCCUGACGGAGCAACGCCGCGUGAGUGAUGAAGGUCUUCGGAUCGUAAAACUCUGUUAUUAGGGAAGAACAUAUGUGUAAGUAACUGUGCACAUCUUGGCGGUACCUAAUCAGAAAGCCACGGCUACUACGUG
rnacentral:rRNA from 1 species